rnacentral:rRNA from 1 species
UGAACAUUGAGCCUUGAUGUGUAGGAUAGGUGGGAGGCUUUGAAGUGUGGACGCCAGUCUGCAUGGAGCCGACCUUGAAAUACCACCCUUUAAUGUUUGAUGUUCUAACGUUGACCCGUAAUCCGGGUUGCGGACAGUGUCUGGUGGGUAGUUUGACUGGGGCGGUCUCCUCCUAAAGAGUAACGGAGGAGCACGAAGGUUGGCUAAUCCUGGUCGGACAUCAGGAGGUUA